CCUACGGGAGGCAGCAGUGAGGAAUAUUGGUCAAUGGACGAGAGUCUGAACCAGCCAAGUAGCGUGAAGGAUGACUGCCCUAUGGGUUGUAAACUUCUUUUAUAUGGGAAUAAAAUGUUCCACGUGUGGGAUUUUGUAUGUACCAUAUGAAUAAGGAUCGGCUAACUCCGUGCCAGCAGCCGCGGUAAUACGGAGGAUCCGAGCGUUAUCCGGAUUUAUUGGGUUUAAAGGGAGCGUAGGGGGAUUGUUAAGUCAGUUGUGAAAGUUUGCGGCUCAACCGUAAAAUUGCAGUUGAAACUGGCAGUCUUGAGUACAGUAGAGGUGUGCGGAAUGCGUGGUGUAGCGGUGAAAUGCUUAGAUAUCACGAAGAACUCCGAUUGCGAAGGCAGUUCACUGGACUGCAACUGACACUGAGGCACGAAAGUGUGGGUAUCAAACAGGAUUAGAUACCCCUGUAGUC
rnacentral:rRNA from 1 species